ACGUGAUCUGAGUUCAGACCGGAGUAAUCCAGGUCAGUUUCUAUCUAUAAGGAGCUUUUUUUAGUACGAAAGGACCAAAAAAGCAUGGCCCCUGUUUUCAGCAAACCAUUUCUAUUAAUUUAUGUCUAAAACUUAACUCUUACAUAGUCCUUCCCCCUGUUCAAGAAAAGAACA
rnacentral:rRNA from 1 species